UACGUAGGGGGCAAGCGUUGUCCGGAAUCAUUGGGCGUAAAGCGCGUGUAGGCGGUUCAGUAAGUCUGCUGUGAAAGUCCAGGGCUCAACCCUGGGAUGCCGGUCGAUACUGCCGGACUAGAGUUCGGAAGAGGCGAGUGGAAUUCCCGGUGUAGCGGUGAAAUGCGCAGAUAUCGGGAGGAACACCUAUGGCGAAGGCAGCUCGCUGGGACGUUACUGACGCUGAGACGCGAAAGCGUGGGGAGCAAACAGG
rnacentral:rRNA from 1 species